GACGAACGCUGGCGGCGUGCCUAAUACAUGCAAGUAGAACGCUGAAGACUUUAGCUUGCUAAAGUUGGAAGAGUUGCGAACGGGUGAGUAACGCGUAGGUAACCUGCCUACUAGCGGGGGAUAACUAUUGGAAACGAUAGCUAAUACCGCAUAACAGCAUCUAACACAUGUUAGAUGCUUGAAAGGAGCAAUUGCUUCACUAGUAGAUGGACCUGCGUUGUAUUAGCUAGUUGGUGAGGUAACGGCUCACCAAGGCGACGAUACAUAGCCGACCUGAGAGGGUGAUCGGCCACACUGGGACUGAGACACGGCCCAGACUCCUACGGGAGGCAGCAGUAGGGAAUCUUCGGCAAUGGGGGCAACCCUGACCGAGCAACGCCGCGUGAGUGAAGAAGGUUUUCGGAUCGUAAAGCUCUGUUGUAAGAGAAGAACGUGUGUGAGAGUGGAAAGUUCACACAGUGACGGUAACUUACCAGAAAGGGACGGCUAACUACGUG
rnacentral:rRNA from 1 species